rnacentral:rRNA from 1 species
GGUGAACGCUGGCGGCGUGCCUAAUACAUGCAAGUAGAACGCUGAAGCUUGGUGCUUGCACCGAGCGGAUGAGUUGCGAACGGGUGAGUAACGCGUAGGUAACCUGCCUCUUAGCGGGGGAUAACUAUUGGAAACGAUAGCUAAUACCGCAUAAAAGUCGAUAUCGCAUGAUAUUGAUUUGAAAGGUGCAAAUGCAUCACUAAGAGAUGGACCUGCGUUGUAUUAGCUAGUUGGUGAGGUAACGGCUCACCAAGGCGACGAUACAUAGCCGACCUGAGAGGGUGAUCGGCCACACUGGGACUGAGACACGGCCCAGACUCCUACGGGAGGCAGCAGUAGGGAAUCUUCGGCAAUGGGGGCAACCCUGACCGAGCAACGCCGCGUGAGUGAAGAAGGUUUUCGGAUCGUAAAGCUCUGUUGUAAGAGAAGAACGAGUGUGAGAGUGGAAAGUUCACACUGUGACGGUAACUUACCAGAAAGGGACGGCUAACUACGUG